rnacentral:rRNA from 1 species
AAUAGAUACCCGGGUAGUCCUAGCCGUAAACGAUACUCGCUAGGUGUCGGCCACGGUGCGACCGUUGUCGGUGCCGUAGAGAAGCCGUGAAGCGAGCCACCUGGGAAGUACGGCCGCAAGGCUGAAACUUAAAGGAAUUGGCGGGGGAGCACCACAACGGGUGGAGCUUGCGAUUUAAUUGGAUUCAACGCCGGAAAUCUUACCGGGACCGACAGCAACAUGAAGGCCAGGCUGAAGACUUUGCCGGAUUAGCUGAGAGGUGGUGCAUGGCCGUCGUCAGUUCGUACUGUGAAGCAUCCUGUUAAGUCAGGCAACGAGCGAGACCCACGCCCACAGUUGCCAGCGUACUCUCCGGAGUGACGGGUACACUGUGGGGACCGCCGCUGCUAAAGCGGAGGAAGGAAUGGGCAACGGUAGGUCAGUAUGCCCCGAAUAUCCCGGGCUACACGCGAGCUACAAUGGUUGGUACAAUGGGUAUCUACCCCGAAAGGGGAUGGAAAUCUCCUAAAGCCAAUCUUAGUUCGGAUUGAGGGCUGCAACUCGCCCUC